UGGGGAAUUUUGGACAAUGGGCGAAAGCCUGAUCCAGCAAUGCCGCGUGUGUGAAGAAGGCCUUCGGGUUGUAAAGCACUUUUGUCCGGAAAGAAAUCCUUGGCUCUAAUACAGUCGGGGGAUGACGGUACCGGAAGAAUAAGCACCGGCUAACUACGUGCCAGCAGCCGCGGUAAUACGUAGGGUGCAAGCGUUAAUCGGAAUUACUGGGCGUAAAGCGUGCGCAGGCGGUUUGCUAAGACCGAUGUGAAAUCCCCGGGCUCAACCUGGGAACUGCAUUGGUGACUGGCAGGCUAGAGUAUGGCAGAGGGGGGUAGAAUUCCACGUGUAGCAGUGAAAUGCGUAGAGAUGUGGAGGAAUACCGAUGGCGAAGGCAGCCCCCUGGGCCAAUACUGACGCUCAUGCACGAAAGCGUGGGGAGCAAACAGGAUUAGAUACCCUGGUAGUCCACGCCCUAAACGAUGUCAACUAGUUGUGGGGAUUCAUUCCUUAGUAACGUAGCUAACGCGUGAAGUU
rnacentral:rRNA from 1 species